rnacentral:rRNA from 1 species
AUUAGCUUGUUGGUGAGGUAACGGCUCACCAAGGCAACGAUGGGUAGCUGGUCUGAGAGGACGAUCAGCCACACUGGGACUGAGACACGGCCCAGACUCCUACGGGAGGCAGCAGUGGGGAAUAUUGGACAAUGGGCGAAAGCCUGAUCCAGCAAUGCCGCGUGAGUGAUGAAGGCCCUAGGGUUGUAAAGCUCUUUUACCCGGGAAGAUAAUGACUGUACCGGGAGAAUAAGCCCCGGCUAACUCCGUGCCAGCAGCCGCGGUAAUACGGAGGGGGCUAGCGUUGUUCGGAAUUACUGGGCGUAAAGCGCACGUAGGCGGCUUUGUAAGUUAGAGGUGAAAGCCCGGGGCUCAACCCCGGAAUUGCCUUUAAGACUGCAUCGCUUGAACGUCGGAGAGGUGAGUGGAAUUCCGAGUGUAGAGGUGAAAUUCGUAGAUAUUCGGAAGAACACCAGUGGCGAAAGCGUCUCACUGGACGACUGUUGACGCUGAGGAGCGAAAGCGUGGGGAGCGAACAGGAUUAGAUACCCUGGUAGUCCACGCCGUAAACGUUGGGCGCUAGGUGUGGGAUCCUUCCACGGAUUCCGUGCCGCAGCUAACGCAUUAAGCGCCCCGCCUGGGGAGUACGGCCGCAAGGCUAAA